GACGAAGGGGGGGCUAGCGUUUGUUCGGAAUUACUGGGCGUAAAGCGCGUGUAGGCGGUUGCCCCAAGUCGGGUGUGAAAGCCUUGAGCUCAACUCAAGAAAAUGCACUCGGUACUGGGUGACUAGAGGACCGGAGAGGAUAGUGGAAUUCCCAGUGUAGUGGUUGAAAUACGUAGAGAUUUGGGAAGAACACCAGUGGCGAAGGCGGCUAUCUGGACGGUUUUCUGACGCUAAGACGCGAAAGCGUUGGGGAGCAAACAGG
rnacentral:rRNA from 1 species